rnacentral:rRNA from 1 species
AAUAGAUACCCGGGUAGUCCACCCCGUAAACGUUGGGAACUAGUUGUGGGGUCCUUUCCACGGAUUCCGUGACGCAGCUAACGCAUUAAGUUCCCCGCCUGGGGAGUACGGCCGCAAGGCUAAAACUCAAAGGAAUUGACGGGGACCCGCACAAGCGGCGGAGCAUGCGGAUUAAUUCGAUGCAACGCGAAGAACCUUACCAAGGCUUGACAUACACCAGAACACCCUAGAAAUAGGGGACUCUUUGGACACUGGUGAACAGGUGGUGCAUGGUUGUCGUCAGCUCGUGUCGUGAGAUGUUGGGUUAAGUCCCGCAACGAGCGCAACCCUCGUUCUAUGUUGCCAGCACGUAAUGGUGGGAACUCAUGGGAUACUGCCGGGGUCAACUCGGAGGAAGGUGGGGAUGACGUCAAAUCAUCAUGCCCCUUAUGUCUUGGGCUUCACGCAUGCUACAAUGGCCGGUACAAAGGGCUGCAAUACCGUGAGGUGGAGCGAAUCCCAAAAGCCGGUCCCAGUUCGGAUUGAGGUCUGCAACUCGACUCAUG